rnacentral:lncRNA from 1 species
UGGAUCGAUGAUGACUUCCAUGUAUACAUUCCUUGGAAAGCUGAACAAAAUGAGUGAAAACUCUAUACCGUCAUCCUCGUCGAACUGAGGUCCAGCACAUUACUCCAACAGGGGCUAGACAGAGAGGGUCAACAUCCGUUUGUUGACAUGGGUUAUACCAAGGCGUCUGUUCAGGCUUAGGAUGGGGUCUUUUAUGGGUGAUGGGGGUCACAGGAGAGUGGUGGCUCCCACGUAUAGGAAAUUUCUUGUUUGAAGGACUGUCAGUGAGGGUGGGUAACACAUGCAUUGUCUGCAGGACUAGGUGAGUGUCCAUGUGGCCUAACAAGAGUUAGCUGGUAGCCCGCCUCUGGUUGCCAAUUUGUUUUUGAGUCUUUGUUCUGGGUUCUUAGGUCCCACGGAGGAAAACAGAUCUGUGUGGUUGGGAGGUGGGUACAAGGCCACAUCUUUGUCAUUUGUUGGCUAACUUUGUCCUUGGUUGAGGACAUUAGAGUUUUGGUCACCAGGCAUAGCCUAUGUGCCUUUGUGCCUGUGAUGUAUCCCAUGUGUUUUGAGGACAUGUAUUUUGCACUUACAGGUGAGCUCCUGCUCCAAGCUGGUUCUGAUACCAAAGGAGUCCCUGGCUUAUCCUAAACCCGAUGUAGGUUAAAGCCUUCCUCCUUAGGGGUUCAGGGCCGCAAGGCUUUUGUGAGUGGCAUUGCAGGCGUUGAAGCAGUGGUGUUGAGAGGGAUGGUCAGUGUCAGUGCUCUUUGGCAGGAUGGUGUACUGCAGGGGCCCCCAGCCCCGAGACGAGCAUCCCUGCAUCCAUGCUUUUCUGCGUCCAUGAACAGGGGAGGCCAGAGACAGGCAGAUAGUAGAUAUAUUGCAGGGGACUGGAUGACAUGGCCCUCAUGACCUGCGCACCUGUCUGCCUUUCUGAAGCACACCUGUGUUUCCUCUGCACCUCCCAGGUAGCAUUGGCAUGGAGGGCAGGCCCAUAUUGGCGAGGGACAAUUGUUACCUCGUGUGAGCCAUGGAGACACCAGGAAGCCCCUGGACACAAAUGGCAAAGGCUCCUUUGGAAGUUGUUGGAUCCCUUCUGAAUGUAAGCACUUCUUUCCCAGAGCACUCUGAUUUUCCUCAUUUGCAGGGACGAACAGUGUGCAUGGAUCGAUGAUGACUUCCAUAUAUACAUUCCUUGGAAAGCUGAACAAAAUGAGUGAAAACUCUAUACCGUCAUCCUCGUCGAACUGAGGUCCA